UACGGAGGAUGCGAGCGUUAUCCGGAUUUAUUGGGCGUAAAGGGAACGCAGGCGGUCUUUUAAGUCUGAUGUGAAAGCCUUCGGCUUAACCGGAGUAGUGCAUUGGAAACUGGGAGACUUGAGUGCAGAAGAGGAGAGUGGAACUCCAUGUGUAGCGGUGAAAUGCGCAGAUAUUGGGAAGAACACCGGCGGCGAAGGCGGCCUUCUGGGCCACGACUGACGCUGAGGCGCGAAAGCUAGGGGAGCGAACAGG
rnacentral:rRNA from 1 species